CAAUAGCGUAUAUUAAAGUUGUUGCGGUUAGAACGCUCGUAGUCGGAUUUCGGGGCGUUCCGACCGGUCUGCCGAUGGGUAUGCACUGGCCGGAGUGUCCUUUUUGCCGGAGACCGUGCCUACUCUUAACUGAGCGGGGGCGGGAGACGGCACUUUUACUUUGAAAAAAUCAGAGCGUUUCAAGCAGGCAGCUCGCUCUUGCAUGGAUUAGCAUGGGAUAAUGAAAUAGGACUUUGGUGCUAUUUUGUUGGUUUCGAACACCGAAGUAAUGAUGAGAAGGGACAGUCAGGGGCACUCGUAUUCCGCAGAGAGAGGUGAAAUUCUCAGACCCGCGGAAGACGAACCACUGCGAAAGCAUUUGCCAGGGAUGUUUNCACUG
rnacentral:rRNA from 1 species